UUAAGCGACUAAGCGUACACGGUGGAUGCCCUGGCAGUCAGAGGCGAUGAAGGACGUGCUAAUCUGCGAUAAGCGUCGGUGAGGUGAUAUGAACCGUUAUAACCGGCGAUUUCCGAAUGGGGAAACCCAGUGUGUUUCGACACACUAUCAUUAACUGAAUCCAUAGGUUAAUGAGGCGAACCGGGGGAACUGAAACAUCUAAGUACCCCGAGGAAAAGAAAUCAACCGAGAUUCCCCCAGUAGCGGCGAGCGAACGGGGAGGAGCCCAGAGCCUGAAUCAGUGUGUGUGUUAGUGGAAGCGUCUGGAAAGGCGCGCGAUACAGGGUGACAGCCCCGUACACAAAAAUGCACAUACUGUGAGCUCGAUGAGUAGGGCGGGACACGUGGUAUCCUGUCUGAAUAUGGGGGGACCAUCCUCCAAGGCUAAAUACUCCUGACUGACCGAUAGUGAACCAGUACCGUGAGGGAAAGGCGAAAAGAACCCCGGCGAGGGGAGUGAAAAAGAACCUGAAACCGUGUACGUACAAGCAGUGGGAGCCUCUUAAUGGGGUGACUGCGUACCUUUUGUAUAAUGGGUCAGCGACUUAUAUUCUGUAGCAAGGUUAACCGAAUAGGGGAGCCGAAGGGAAACCGAGUCUUAACUGGGCGCUAAGUUGCAGGGUAUAGACCCGAAACCCGGUGAUCUAGCCAUGGGCAGGUUGAAGGUUGGGUAACACUAACUGGAGGACCGAACCGACUAAUGUUGAAAAAUUAGCGGAUGACUUGUGGCUGGGGGUGAAAGGCCAAUCAAACCGGGAGAUAGCUGGUUCUCCCCGAAAGCUAUUUAGGUAGCGCCUCGUGAAUUCAUCUCCGGGGGUAGAGCACUGUUUCGGCAAGGGGGUCAUCCCGACUUACCAACCCGAUGCAAACUGCGAAUACCGGAGAAUGUUAUCACGGGAGACACACGGCGGGUGCUAACGUCCGUCGUGAAGAGGGAAACAACCCAGACCGCCAGCUAAGGUCCCAAAGUCAUGGUUAAGUGGGAAACGAUGUGGGAAGGCCCAGACAGCCAGGAUGUUGGCUUAGAAGCAGCCAUCAUUUAAAGAAAGCGUAAUAGCUCACUGGUCGAGUCGGCCUGCGCGGAAGAUGUAACGGGGCUAAACCAUGCACCGAAGCUGCGGCAGCGACACUAUGUGUUGUUGGGUAGGGGAGCGUUCUGUAAGCCUGUGAAGGUGGCCUGUGAGGGUUGCUGGAGGUAUCAGAAGUGCGAAUGCUGACAUAAGUAACGAUAAAGCGGGUGAAAAGCCCGCUCGCCGGAAGACCAAGGGUUCCUGUCCAACGUUAAUCGGGGCAGGGUGAGUCGACCCCUAAGGCGAGGCCGAAAGGCGUAGUCGAUGGGAAACAGGUUAAUAUUCCUGUACUUGGUGUUACUGCGAAGGGGGGACGGAGAAGGCUAUGUUGGCCGGGCGACGGUUGUCCCGGUUUAAGCGUGUAGGCUGGUUUUCCAGGCAAAUCCGGAAAACCAAGGCUGAGGCGUGAUGACGAGGCACUACGGUGCUGAAGCGACAAAUGCCCUGCUUCCAGGAAAAGCCUCUAAGCAUCAGGUAACAUCAAAUCGUACCCCAAACCGACACAGGUGGUCAGGUAGAGAAUACCAAGGCGCUUGAGAGAACUCGGGUGAAGGAACUAGGCAAAAUGGUGCCGUAACUUCGGGAGAAGGCACGCUGAUAUGUAGGUGAAGCGACUUGCUCGUGGAGCUGAAAUCAGUCGAAGAUACCAGCUGGCUGCAACUGUUUAUUAAAAACACAGCACUGUGCAAACACGAAAGUGGACGUAUACGGUGUGACGCCUGCCCGGUGCCGGAAGGUUAAUUGAUGGGGUUAGCGGUAACGCGAAGCUCUUGAUCGAAGCCCCGGUAAACGGCGGCCGUAACUAUAACGGUCCUAAGGUAGCGAAAUUCCUUGUCGGGUAAGUUCCGACCUGCACGAAUGGCGUAAUGAUGGCCAGGCUGUCUCCACCCGAGACUCAGUGAAAUUGAACUCGCUGUGAAGAUGCAGUGUACCCGCGGCAAGACGGAAAGACCCCGUGAACCUUUACUAUAGCUUGACACUGAACAUUGAGCCUUGAUGUGUAGGAUAGGUGGGAGGCUUUGAAGUGUGGACGCCAGUCUGCAUGGAGCCGACCUUGAAAUACCACCCUUUAAUGUUUGAUGUUCUAACGUUGGCCCGUAAUCCGGGUUGCGGACAGUGUCUGGUGGGUAGUUUGACUGGGGCGGUCUCCUCCUAAAGAGUAACGGAGGAGCACGAAGGUUGGCUAAUCCUGGUCGGACAUCAGGAGGUUAGUGCAAUGGCAUAAGCCAGCUUGACUGCGAGCGUGACGGCGCGAGCAGGUGCGAAAGCAGGUCAUAGUGAUCCGGUGGUUCUGAAUGGAAGGGCCAUCGCUCAACGGAUAAAAGGUACUCCGGGGAUAACAGGCUGAUACCGCCCAAGAGUUCAUAUCGACGGCGGUGUUUGGCACCUCGAUGUCGGCUCAUCACAUCCUGGGGCUGAAGUAGGUCCCAAGGGUAUGGCUGUUCGCCAUUUAAAGUGGUACGCGAGCUGGGUUUAGAACGUCGUGAGACAGUUCGGUCCCUAUCUGCCGUGGGCGCUGGAGAACUGAGGGGGGCUGCUCCUAGUACGAGAGGACCGGAGUGGACGCAUCACUGGUGUUCGGGUUGUCAUGCCAAUGGCACUGCCCGGUAGCUAAAUGCGGAAGAGAUAAGUGCUGAAAGCAUCUAAGCACGAAACUUGCCCCGAGAUGAGUUCUCCCUGAGACUUAGAGUCUCCUGAAGGAACGUUGAAGACGACGACGUUGAUAGGCCGGGUGUGUAAGCGCAGCGAUGCGUUGAGCUAACCGGUACUAAUGAACCGUGAGGCUUAACCUU
rnacentral:rRNA from 2 species